UACGUAGGGGGCAAGCGUUGUCCGGAUUUACUGGGCGUAAAGAGCGUGUAGGCGGCCAAGCAGGUCCGUUGUGAAAACUGGAGGCUUAACCUCCAGACGUCGACGGAAACCGCGUGGCUAGAGUCCGGAAGAGGAGAGUGGAAUUCCUGGUGUAGCGGUGAAAUGCGCAGAUAUCAGGAAGAACACCAGUGGCGAAGGCAGCUCUCUGGGACGGUACUGACGCUGAGACGCGAAAGCGUGGGGAGCGAACAGG
rnacentral:rRNA from 1 species